CCCAGACUCCUACGGGAGGCAGCAGUGGGGGAUAUUGCACAAUGGGGGGAACCCUGAUGCAGCGACGCCGCGUGGGUGAAGAAGUAUUUCGGUAUGUAAAGCCCUAUCGGCAGGGAAGAAAUUGGACGGUACCUGACUAAGAAGCCCCGGCUAACUACGUGCCAGCAGCCGCGGUAAUACGUAGGGGGCAAGCGUUAUCCGGAUUCACUGGGUGUAAAGGGAGCGUAGACGGCCAUGCAAGCCUGGAGUGAAAGCCCGGGGCCCAACCCCGGGACUGCUCUGGGAACUGUGCGGCUGGAGUGCGGGAGGGGCAGGCGGAAUUCCUGGUGUAGCGGUGAAAUGCGUAGAUAUCAGGAGGAACACCGGUGGCGAAGGCGGCUUACUGGACUGCGACUGACGUUGAGGCCCGAAAGCGUGGGGAGCAAACAGGAUUAGAUACCCUAGUA
rnacentral:rRNA from 1 species